AUGAACGCUGGCGGCGUGCCUAAUCCCUGCCAGUCGAGCGAACGGACGAGAAGCUUGCUUCUCUGAUGUUAGCGGCGGACGGGUGAGUAACACGUGGAUAACCUACCUAUAAGACUGGGAUAACUUCGGGAAACCGGAGCUAAUACCGGAUAAUAUUUUGAACCGCAUGGUUCAAAAGUAAAAGACGGUCUUGCUGUCACUUAUAGAUGGAUCCGCGCUGCAUUAGCUAGUUGGUAAGGUAACGGCUUACCAAGGCAACGAUGCAUAGCCGACCUGAGAGGGUGAUCGGCCACACUGGAACUGAGACACGGUCCAGACUCCUACGGGAGGCAGCAGUAGGGAAUCUUCCGCAAUGGGCGAAAGCCUGACGGAGCAACGCCGCGUGAGUGAUGAAGGUCUUCGGAUCGUAAAACUCUGUUAUUAGGGAAGAACAUAUGUGUAAGUAACUGUGCACAUCUUGACGGUACCUAAUCAGAAAGCCACGGCUAACUACGUG
rnacentral:rRNA from 1 species